rnacentral:lncRNA from 1 species
UCAUCGCCUGUCUAUUUAUCAAAUGCUACUCUCUGCUCAGCACUAGGAUCGUUUGAUAAAAUUAGAAGGUCUUGAUCAAGUACAUAUCCUAAUUUUUCUGAUAUCAAGAUAAUCUUAAAGUUUCUGAGCCAGUCUUUAAAAUUAAUUUCAGUCAAAUGAUUGGACUUAAGGAUGCAGGUUAAGGGUUCGAAGCUGAUAUGGUUUAACUGUGAGAGUAGAGAUUC